CCUACGGGAGGCAGCAGUGGGGAAUUUUGCGCAAUGGGCGAAAGCCUGACGCAGCAACGCCGCGUGAGUGAUGACGGUCUUCGGAUUGUAAAGCUCUGUCUUCAGGGACGAUAAUGACGGUACCCGAGGAGGAAGCCACGGCUAACUACGUGCCAGCAGCCGCGGUAAU
rnacentral:rRNA from 1 species